AGGGUAGUGAUGGAAUUGGUAUACAUGAAUAGCUUAGGACUGUUUGAUUUCGAAAUCUUAUCCGUUCAAGUCGGAUCUACCUUA
rnacentral:tRNA from 1 species